AUUUUAACUCCGCCUGUAGCUACUGCCGGUCCCAAGCCCGGGUAAAGGAGGAGGGUUUG
rnacentral:ribozyme from 2 species